GAUGAAGAACGUAGCGAAAUGCGAUAAGUAAUGUGAAUUGCAGAAUUCAGUGAAUCAUCGAAUCUUUGAACGCACAUUGCGCCCGCCAGUAUUCUGGCGGGCAUGCCUGUUCGAGCGUCAUUUCAACCCUCAAGCCCAGCUUGGUGUUGGGGAUCGGCACAGGCGCCCUCGGGCGCCCGCCGUCCCCUAAAUCUAGUGGCGGUCCCGCUGCAGCCUCCUCUGCGUAGUAGUUUUCUCCUCGCAAGGGAAGCUCGGUGGCGACCUCGCCGUAAAACCCCCAACUUCUGAAAGGUUGACCUCGAAUCAGGUAGGAAUACCCGCUGAACUUAAGCAUAUCAUAAGCGGAGGA
rnacentral:misc_RNA from 1 species